ACGGGAGGCAGCAGUAGGGAAUAUUGCACAAUGGGGGGAACCCUGAUGCAGCCACGCCACGUGUGGGAUGAAGCAUUUCGGUGUGUAAACCACUGUCGGGAGGGAAUAAUGCUUGGUCUCGGCCAAGUUGAAUGUACCUCGAAAGGAAGCACCGGCAAACUUCGUGCCAGCAGCCGCGGUAAUACGAGGGGUGCAAGCGUUGUUCGGAAUCACUGGGCAUAAAGGGAGCGUAGGCGGAGACGCAAGCAGUCUGUACAAUACCGGGGCCCAACCCCGGACCUGCAGACUGGAGUGUGUCUCUUGGAUAGUUCAGGGGCAGGCGGAAUUCCUGGUGUAGCGGUGGAAUGCGUAGAGAUCAGGAAGAACACCGAUGGCGAAGGCAGCCUGCUAAGGAGUCAUCGACGCUGAGGCUCGAAAGUGCGGGUAGCGAACAGGAUUAGAUACCCUGGUA
rnacentral:rRNA from 1 species